UACGUAGGGUGCGAGCGUUAAUCGGAAUUACUGGGCGUAAAGCGUGCGCAGGCGGCUUUGCAAGACAGAUGUGAAAUCCCCGGGCUCAACCUGGGAACUGCUUUCAAAACUGCUGAGCUAGAGUACGGUAGAGGGGGAUGGAAUUCCGCGUGUAGCAGUGAAAUGCGUAGAUAUGCGGAGGAACACCAAUGGCGAAGGCAAUCCCCUGGGCCUGUACUGACGCUCAUGCACGAAAGCGUGGGGAGCAAACAGG
rnacentral:rRNA from 1 species